UCCUACAGAAAAUCAUUGUUUUGUGAUUGUAGUGGCGCCUCCGAUUUCACUGACAUAUAUCAGCAACCCAAGAAGUCAACACUUUCAGAAAGUACAACUUUGAAAGUUACGAUCCUAACCUGCAGAUUUAUAGUACAAUGUAAAUAGCUACCGUGCAUGUAACAACUUCAAUCAUAUACAUGGAACCCAGAAUUUACCUUCUAAGUGUCAUGUCAACUAAUGGAAACAGGAGAAGGAUAAAUUCAGGGAAGAUCAAUAAAAAUGCGGCCAAAUCCUGUCAACCACUGAAAAAUCAUGAAGUUAAUAAUUGCUGCAAAUGGAAAUUGUAUAACAAAUAGAACAACCUUAAUUUAACAACAGAAAAAACGAUGCGAUGAGCAAUAAAUCUAUACCCGUAGAGGCGCUAGCAGAGGAGAUCCAAAAGAGGGGAUUUUCAAAGGAGGGGAGAUUGGCAGAAUUUAGAUAACGAAGGAGAUCAGAGCUGAGGAGGAAGACAGACGCACCUGCUCAACGCGC
rnacentral:lncRNA from 1 species